GCAUGGUCCGGGUGAGCGCAACCGCGGGUUUGGGAGCCGGCAUCUGCGCAGCGUGAAGCUGGAUGUUUUAGUGCUUGCUGACUCAAGGGACACCGCCAUCACCCGAGCAUUCACGAGGGAGCAGCCAUCAAGGCGUGACAUUGAGGACCUUGGGGAGCAGUGCCCGUGAAAUAGCUCAUUGCAGGUGUCCGAGGAGGAAUGCCGGUGCUUCUGCAGAGGACAGUAAAGUUCCUCUAGAGACUAAUGUUUCUGUGUAAUGCGGCCGACCUUGGGAAGAGUUCUGCUGAGGAGCAGGAGAGUGAUGAUGCUCCUCCCUCCAUCUGAUCACCACAGUGAGCAACAGCCACCGUUGCUCCUCACUCUUAGCCCUUUGGUAUGUUGGUGAAGCUCGGUGCAUGCGUAAUCCCAUUUUCCAGCUCACUUCCUGCCUUUUUCCCAUUGGCGUGUGGCAUCCCGGAGCUGUGACCCGUCAAAUUUCACUCCAGCUGCUGCAGAAAUGUCACGCUGGCCUUAGUUUCGGUUUAGUCUGCAAAGCCAAUAAUUUUAGGGCAAAUUGGCAAAACAGGAAAGGUGGCAUUUGGAUUUCUGUCAGUGCAUCUGAUUUGGGAAUAUAACAGUGUUUGUUGACCAAGUGGUUUAAAGUACCAAGUGCACUGCCUGGCCACCACUGGGAUUUAACUAAGCAAAUAGGUAGCAGGUUUCCACUGGAUAAUCAGUGCAGCUGGCAACAAGUUAUUUAACCCUAGCCGAUGCGGUCAGAAGUUGCUGAGUCAUUCCUGCUAUUCAGUGCCAUUUCAAGGUGGCAUUAUUGUGUCAAAUAAUUUAACAAACAAAAUAAUAGGAAGUUGAACUGUUAGAAAAAUAUACAAGUCCACAUUCUCCAUGCAGAACACAGGUCAAAGGUUCCCCCUUGUACAAUUUUAUUUUUAGCCACUUUUGCUCAUGUGAUGAACAACAGGCUCACGAGGACAAGACUUUUAGCAACCACAUGUUCAAAAUGACAAAUGACAGGUUACACUGUAAAUGACACAUCAGCGAACCACUAAAACAUGAUGAAAAGAAGUUGAUGAAAGCGUGACGAUUACCCUGAUCUUGCGUUAUCUUCCUGGUUUAAAUAAAAGAUUUGCAUUG